AUCAACUUUCGAUGGUAGGAUAGAGGCUACCAUGGUGGUAACGGGUAACGGGGUGUUAGGGCACGACACCGGAGAGGGAGCCUGAGAAACGGCUACCACAUCCGAGGAUGGCAGCAGGCGCGCAAAUUACCCAAUCCCGACACGGGGAGGUAGUGACAAUAAAUAACAAUACGGGGUUCUUUCGGAUCUCGUAAUUGGAAUGAGUACAAUUUAAAUCUCUUAACGAGGAACAAUUGGAGGGCAAGUCUGGUGCCAGCAGCCGCGGUAAUUCCAGCUCCAAUAGCGUAUAUUAAAGUUGUUGCAGUUAAAAAGCUCGUAGUUGAAUUUCGGGGUCAGUAGGUUGGUCGUGCCACCGGUACGUACUGGUCUCACUGAUUCCUCCUUCCUGAUGAGCUGUAAUGCCAUUAAUUUGGUGUUGCAGGGAAUCUGGACUGUUACUUUGAAAAAAUUAGAGUGUUUAAAGCAGGCUAACGCUUGAAUACAUUAGCAUGGAAUAAUGAAAUAGGACGUUCGAUCCUAUUUUGUUGGUUUCUAGGAUUGACGUAAUGAUUAAUAGGGAUAGUUGGGGGCAUUAGUAUUCAAUUGUCAGAGGUGAAAUUCUUGGAUUUAUUGAAGACUAACUACUGCGAAAGCAUUUGCCAAGGAUGUUUUCAUUAAUCAAGAACGAAAGUUAGGGGAUCGAAGACGAUCAGAUACCGUCGUAGUCUUAACCAUAAACUAUGCCGACUAGGGAUCGGAUGAUGUUAAUUUUUUAAUGACUCAUUCGGCGCCUUACGGGAAACCAAAGUGUUUGGGUUC
rnacentral:rRNA from 1 species